rnacentral:rRNA from 1 species
UUGCUCCUUUGACGUUAGCGGCGGACGGGUGAGUAACACGUGGGCAACCUACCCUAUAGUUUGGGAUAACUCCGGGAAACCGGGGCUAAUACCGAAUAACUUGUUGUCUCUCAUGAGACAAUUCUAAAAGACGGUUUCGGCUGUCGCUAUAGGAUGGGCCCGCGGCGCAUUAGCUAGUUGGUGAGGUAACGGCUCACCAAGGCAACGAUGCGUAGCCGACCUGAGAGGGUGAUCGGCCACACUGGGACUGAGACACGGCCCAGACUCCUACGGGAGGCAGCAGUAGGGAAUCUUCCACAAUGGGCGAAAGCCUGAUGGAGCAACGCCGCGUGAGUGAAGAAGGAUUUCGGUUCGUAAAACUCUGUUGUAAGGGAAGAACAAGUACAGUAGUAACUGGCUGUACCUUGACGGUACCUUAUUAGAAAGCCACGGCUAACUACGUGCCAGCAGCCGCGGUAAUACGUAGGUGGCAAGCGUUGUCCGGAAUUAUUGGGCGUAAAGCGCGCGCAGGUGGUUUCUUAAGUCUGAUGUGAAAGCCCACGGCUCAACCGUGGAGGGUCAUUGGAAACUGGGAGACUUGAGUGCA